CCUACGGGUGGCAGCAGUGGGGAAUAUUGGACAAUGGGGGGAACCCUGAUCCAGCCAUGCCGCGUGUGUGAAGAAGGCCCUCGGGUUGUAAAGCACUUUCAGUGAGGAAGAACGCCUGGUGGUUAAUACCCAUCAGGAAAGACAUCACUCACAGAAGAAGCACCGGCUAACUCCGUGCCAGCAGCCGCGGUAAUACGGAGGGUGCGAGCGUUAAUCGGAAUUACUGGGCGUAAAGCGCGCGUAGGUGGCUUGAUAAGCCGGUUGUGAAAGCCCCGGGCUCAACCUGGGAACGGCAUCCGGAACUGUCAAGCUAGAGUGCAGGAGAGGUAGGUAGAAUUCCCGGUGUAGCGGUGAAAUGCGUAGAGAUCGGGAGGAAUACCAGUGGCGAAGGCGGCCUUCUGGACUGAAACUGACACUGAGGUGCGAAAGCGUGGGUAGCAAACAGGAUUAGAUACCCUUGUAGUC
rnacentral:rRNA from 1 species